AAUCCAUUCAUAUCUAGAUUCUAGAAUUUAGAUGUAGAUUAAGUGUGAAUAGGAAUUAGUUAAAAGUUCUUAGAUUAAUUAAUUAAUCUAGAUAGGCAGACAGGUCAAGUAGAUUAAGAUAGAUUAUAUUUGAUAUCUAUUAAUUCGCUAACUGGAAGUGGAACUUUUUCUACUUUGAAUUUUUCAAAAGCCGAUAACUUGAGUACUAUUUCAGAUAGAUAAAUGAAAUUUCACAUGAUCAACAAAUACAAUUUUAUUUUCAAAAUGGCUGGGGACUUUGUGCCUGAAUCAGAACUUAAUCUUAAAGGAUGGCAGAAGCAUUUCAAUAGCUACACAUUGAGAGGGAGAUUCAAUUGGGUUGCAGCAACAUAUGGGUCAUUAUUUGGAGGCUUUAUACUGUACAAGUUACUGAAGAAGAAACCUCAAUUGACAGAUCACUAGUUUCUUCACAACAAAUUCUAGUUUUAGUUACUGUGAGCAAAAUAAUAUUGUAUGAGCAUUAAAAAAUGGUAAUAAAAAUUUGAAAUACAACUUUUAAAAUGUAUUUUAUAAUUCAAUUAUUAUACUAAUACCACAUAAAUUUAUUGAAAACAAGUUACAUGAUUAUAAUUAUAGUUAAAGCACAACAUAGAAAUACAUAUGGCACUAUCGCCCCUCCCUGUAACUGAUUUCACAUUAAUUUUACCUCACUUUAAUUCAGAAACAACAGAUUUCACUUAUUUUAAAAAUCAGUGUUUAAAGUAAAAACUGAUUUCAACAAGUUUUACAUUUGGAAUAAAAAUUUAUUUUUUACU